UAGCAUAAUCGUUAGUUUCUUAAUUGGGAUCUUGUAUGAAUGGUUGGACAAAAGAAAAUCUGUCUUUGUAGUCGUUAUUGAAUUUAACUUUUGAGUGAAAAGGCUCAAAUAAAUUAAAGGGACGAUAAGACCCUAUAAAGCUUGAUAUUAGGAGAUAUUAACCUUAAUUUUAAGAUUAUAAAGGUUUAGUGUGUAGUUUUUAUUAUAUUGGGGCGAUAGAAGUAAAAUGAUUGGUAACUGCUUCUUUUUUAGACAAAAAUAAGUGAGUAACAGGAAGUAAAGGAUCCUUUAUAAAGAUUUAAAGAAUAAGUUACUUUAGGGAUAACAGCGUUAUUUUUUUUGAGAGUUCUUAUCGAAAAAAAAGUUUGCGACCUC
rnacentral:rRNA from 1 species